rnacentral:rRNA from 1 species
UGGGGAAUUUUGGACAAUGGGCGAAAGCCUGAUCCAGCAAUGCCGCGUGUGUGAAGAAGGCCUUCGGGUUGUAAAGCACUUUUGUCCGGAAAGAAAUCCUUGGCUCUAAUACAGUCGGGGGAUGACGGUACCGGAAGAAUAAGCACCGGCUAACUACGUGCCAGCAGCCGCGGUAAUACGUAGGGUGCAAGCGUUAAUCGGAAUUACUGGGCGUAAAGCGUGCGCAGGCGGUUUGCUAAGACCGAUGUGAAAUCCCCGGGCUCAACCUGGGAACUGCAUUGGUGACUGGCAGGCUAGAGUAUGGCAGAGGGGGGUAGAAUUCCACGUGUAGCAGUGAAAUGCGUAGAGAUGUGGAGGAAUACCGAUGGCGAAGGUAGCCCCCUGGGCCAAUACUGACGCUCAUGCACGAAAAGCGUGGGGAGCAAACAGGAUUAGAUACCCUGGUAGUCCACGCCCUAAACGAUGUCAACUAGUUGUUGGGGAUUCAUUUCCUUAGUAACGUAGCUAACGCGUGAAGUUGACCGCCUGGGGAGUACGGUCGCAAGAUUAAAACUCAAAUGAA